rnacentral:rRNA from 1 species
UACGUAGAGUGCGAGCGUUGUCCGGAAUUACUGGGCGUAAAGAGCUCGUAGGUGGUUUGUCGCGUUGUUCGUGAAAUCUCACGGCUUAACUGUGAGCGUGCGGGCGAUACGGGCAGACUGGAGUACUGCAGGGGGAGACUGGAAUUCCUGGUGUAGCGGUGGAAUGCGCAGAUAUCAGGAGGAACACCGGUGGCGAAGGCGGGUCUCUGGGCAGUAACUGACGCUGAGGAGCGAAAAGCGUGGGGAGCGAACAGG